UAAGGAAUAUUGGUCAAUGGACGCAAGUCUGAACCAGCCAUGCCGCGUGAAGGAUGAAGGUCCUCUGGAUUGUAAACUUCUUUUAUCUGGGACGAAAACGGGAUUUUUAUCUCAAUUGACGGUACCAGAGGAAUAAGCACCGGCUAACUCCGUGCCAGCAGCCGCGGUAAUACGGAGGGUGCGAGCGUUAUCCGGAUUUACUGGGUUUAAAGGGUGCGUAGGUGGGCUUAUAAGUCAGUGGUGAAAUCUCCGAGCUUAACUUGGAAACUGCCGUUGAUACUAUAGGUCUUGAAUUAUCUGGAGGUAAGCGGAAUAUGUCAUGUAGCGGUGAAAUGCUUGGAUAUGACAUAGAACACCAAUUGCGAAGGCAGCUUACUACAUAUAAAUUGACGCUGAGGCACGAAAGCGUGGGGA
rnacentral:rRNA from 1 species